rnacentral:rRNA from 1 species
AUUGAACGCUGGCGGCAUGCUUUACACAUGCAAGUCGAACGGCAGCGCGGGCUUCGGCCUGGCGGCGAGUGGCGAACGGGUGAGUAAUACAUCUGAACGUGCCCAGUAGUGGGGGAUAGCUCGGCGAAAGCCGGAUUAAUACCGCAUACGACCUGAGGGUGAAAGCGGGGGAUCUUCGGACCUCGCGCUAUGGGAGCGGCCGAUGGCAGAUUAGCUAGUUGGUGGGGUAAAGGCCUACCAAGGCGACGAUCUGUAGCUGGUCUGAGAGGACGACCAGCCACACUGGGACUGAGACACGGCCCAGACUCCUACGGGAGGCAGCAGUGGGGAAUUUUGGACAAUGGGCGAAAGCCUGAUCCAGCAAUGCCGCGUGUGUGAUGAAGGCCUUCGGGUUGUAAAGCACUUUUGGCGGGAACGAAAAGGACUGUGCCAAUACCACGGUUCGAUGACGGUACCCGCAGAAUAAGCACCGGCUAACUACGUG